UAAACGGGAAAAGGAACAACAGGGAUUGCCCUAGUAACGGCGAGUGAAGCGGCAACAGCUCAAAUUUGAAAUCUGGCUCUUUUAGAGUCCGAGUUGUAAUUUGCAGAGGGCGCUUUGGCUUUGGCAGCGGUCCAAGUUCCUUGGAACAGGACGUCACAGAGGGUGAGAAUCCCGUACGUGGUCGCUGGCUAUUGCCGUGUAAAGCCCCUUCGACGAGUCGAGUUGUUUGGGAAUGCAGCUCUAAAUGGGAGGUACAUUUCUUCUAAAGCUAAAUAUUGGCCAGAGACCGAUAGCGCACAAGUAGAGUGAUCGAAAGAUGAAAAGCACUUUGGAAAGAGAGUCAAACAGCACGUGAAAUUGUUGAAAGGGAAGCGCUUGCAGCCAGACUUGCUUACAGUUGCUCAUCCGGGUUUUUACCCGGUGCACUCUUCUGUAGGCAGGCCAGCAUCAGUUUGGGCGGUAGGAUAAAGGUCUCUGUCACGUACCUCCUUUCGGGGAGGCCUUAUAGGGGAGACGACAUACUACCAGCCUGGACUGAGGUCCGCGCAUCUGCUAGGAUGCUGGCGUAAUGGCUGUAAGCGGCCCGUCUUGAAACACGGACCAAGGAGUCUAACAUCUAUGCGAGUGUUUGGGUGUCAAGCCCGAGCGCGUAAUGAAAGUGAACGGAGGUGGGAACCCGCAAGGGUGCACCAUCGACCGAUCCUGAUGUCUUCGGAAGGAUUUGAGUAAGAGCAUGGCUGUUGGGACCCGAAAGAUGGUGAACUAUGCUUGAAUAGGGUGAAGCCAGAGGAAACUCUGGUGGAGGCUCGCAGCGGUUCUGACGUGCAAAUCGAUCGUCAAAUUUGGGCAUAGGGGCGAAAGACUAAUCGAACUAUCUAGUAGCUGGUUCCUGCCGAAUUCCCCCCCCAGGAAAAAAAAAA
rnacentral:rRNA from 1 species